UACAGGGGGUGCAAACGUUGCUCGGAAUUAUUGGGCGUAAAGCGCACGUAGGCGGUUCGUUAUGUCAGAUGUGAAAGCCCUUGGCUCAACUGAGGAAGUGCAUCUGAAACUGGCGAGCUAGAGUAUGUAAGAGGGUCGCGGAAUUCCCGGUGUAGAGGUGAAAUUCGUAGAUAUCGGGAGGAACACCGAUGGCGAAGGCAGGUCUCUGGGCCACUACUGACGCUGAGAAGCGAAAGCAUGGGGAGCGAACAGG
rnacentral:rRNA from 1 species